rnacentral:rRNA from 1 species
UACGUAGGGGGGCCAGCGUUGUUCGGAAUUACUGGGUGUAAAGGGGUUUCGUAGGCGGUGUGGGCAAGUUGGGGAGUGAAAUCUCUGGGCUCAACCCAGAGACGGCUUCCAAAACUGCCGUGCUUGAGUGUGGGAGAGGAAUGCGGAAUUCCAGGUGUAGCGGUGAAAUGCGUAGAGUAUCUGGAGGAACACCGGUGGCGAAGG